UGAGUAGCGAUAAUUAAUGUGAGAAUCAUUAACGCCGUAAACCCAAGGUUUCCUACGCGAUGCUCGUCAUCGUAGGGUUAGUCGGGUCCUAAGCCGAGUCCGAAAGGGGUAGGUGAUGGCAAAUUGGUUAAUAUUCCAAUACCAACAUUAGUGUGCGAUGGAAGGACGCUUAGGGCUAAGCAAGCUAGCGGAUGGAAGUGCUAGUCUAAGGAUGUAGGAGCUUAUAUAGGCAAAUCCGUAUAAGAAUACUCCGAGAUCUUAAAGGCUUUUUGAAGUCUUCGGAUGGAUAGAAGAAUUGCUGAUGCCGUCGAGCCAAGAAAAGUUUCUAAGUUUAGCUAAUGUUGCCCGUACCGUAAACCGACACAGGUGGGUGGGAUGAGUAUUCUAAGGCGCGUGGAAGAACUCUCUUUAAGGAACUCUGCAAAAUAGCACCGUAUCUUCGGUAUAAGGUGUGGUUCACUUUGUAUUAGGAUUUACUCCGAAAGCAAAGAAACUUACAACAAAGAGUCCCUCCCGACUGUUUACCAAAAACACAGCACUCUGCUAACUCGUAAGAGGAUGUAUAGGGUGUGACGCCUGCCCGGUGCUCGAAGGUUAAUUGAUGGGGUUAGCAUUAGCGAAGCUCUUGAUCGAAGCCCGAGUAAACGGCGGCCGUAACUAUAACGGUCCUAAGGUAGCGAAAUUCCUUGUCGGUUAAAUACCGACCUGCAUGAAUGGCGUAACGAGAUGGGAGCUGUCUCAAAGAGGGAUCCAGUGAAAUUGUAGUGGAGGUGAAAAUUCCUCCUACCCGCGGCAAGACGGAAAGACCCCGUGGACCUUUACUACAGCUUGACACUGCUAUUUGGAUAAGAAUGUGCAGGAUAGGUGGGAGGCUUUGAGUAAUAGACGCUAGUUUAUUAUGAGCCAUUGUUGAGAUACCACUCUUUCUUAUUUGGGUAGCUAACUAGCUUGAGUUAUCCUCAAGUAGGACAAUGUCUGGUGGGUAGUUUGACUGGGGCGGUCGCCUCCCAAAUAAUAACGGAGGCUUACAAAGGUUGGCUCAGAACGGUUGGAAAUCGUUCGUAGAGUAUAAAGGUAUAAGCCAGCUUAACUGCAAGACAUACAAGUCAAGCAGGGACGAAAGUCGGUCUUAGUGAUCCGGUGGUUCUGUGUGGAAGGGCCAUCGCUCAAAGGAUAAAAGGUACCCCGGGGAUAACAGGCUGAUCUCCCCCAAGAGCUCACAUCGACGGGGAGGUUUGGCACCUCGAUGUCGGCUCAUCGCAUCCUGGGGCUGGAGCAGGUCCCAAGGGUAUGGCUGUUCGCCAUUUAAAGCGGUACGCGAGCUGGGUUCAGAACGUCGUGAGACAGUUCGGUCCCUAUCUGCCGUGGGCGUAAGAAGAUUGAAGAGAUUUGACCCUAGUACGAGAGGACCGGGUUGAACAAACCACUGGUGUAGCUGUUGUUCUGCCAAGAGCAUCGCAGCGUAGCUAAGUUUGGAACGGAUAAACGCUGAAAGCAUCUAAGCGUGAAGCCAACUCUAAGAUGAAUCUUCUCUAAGCUCUCUAGAAGACUACUAGUUUGAUAGGCUGGGUGUGUAAUGGAUGAAAGUCCUUUAGCUGACCAGUACUAAUAGAGCGUUUGGCUUAUCUUUUUUAUAAGCAU
rnacentral:rRNA from 1 species